rnacentral:lncRNA from 1 species
CAGGAUUUUGCCACCAAAGGCCUUUGCACCCUCAUGGUGGCCUACCGAGAGUUGGAUACCACAUUCUUCCAGACCUGGAGCCACAAGCACAGUUCAGCUUGCCUGUCUUUGGAGGAUCGAGAAAAUAAAUUAUCAGUUAUCUAUGAAAAGAUAGAAAAAGACUUGAUGGGGCCACAGCCAUAGAAGACAAGCUGCAAGAUGCAGUACCUGAGACAAUCAUCACCCUGAACAAAGCCAAAAUUAAGAUACGGGUUUUAACUGGAGAUAAGCAAGAGACUGCUGUGAACAUUGCCUACUCUUGUAGUAUAUUAGAUGAUGAAAUGGAUGGGGUGUUCGUGGUGCAAGGCAAGAAUUAUGAGACAGUUUAUCAAGAAGUCAGGUACAGGACAGCAAGGGCCAAGAUGAAACCUGAGUCUCUACUGGAAUCAGACCCAACAAACAUUCAUCUCUCCACAAAACCCAAAAUGCCCUUCACAGUACCUGACAAGGAGCCCAAUGGCAACUAUGGCUUGGUCAUCAAUGGCUACAGUCUGGUGGGCAACACAGUGCUAUAACUCUCUUCUCUUCUUCCCAAAACUUCUCUUCCUACAUCCAACCCACUUCAGGGAAAUUUCUCCUAGUCUAUGAGUCACCCUAUUCCCUCUCCCUCAGGUAUCUUUGCCUGAAAGAAUCCUUUCCCCGGGCUCCUUUAGGCAGGAGUAAAAGAAGAAGGAAAAGCCAAGGGAAAAAUCCUUUCCUUAUCUAAAUUCCUUACUACUGAUAUAGCCUGUCACUGAAGGAAAGGGAAAAGGCAAGCAGAACCGGUCCCUCCAAUAAGUCACUUGGCCUCAUACCCCUCAACUGAUUUGACCCAAUGAGAGGCCCUGGCCAGUUUCCCAUUGGAGGCUGAGUCAGACAUGAAGAUGCCUAGAACUGACUCAGGGGUCUGACUUCCCUUGGGAGUGAACACCUUGAGAGAAGCUUUGCCUGUCCUAUGAAGGACAGGAGAGUAUGGAGGGAAGGAGAGGGACCUGAGAAUGUCCUACCCUGAGAGUC